GUGGCAGAGUGGACGCCGAAGGCGACCCAGAAGGUGGAGACGGCCAGGUUUAAAUGAUCUGUGCUCCAAAUGAACAAAUCAGCAGCACCUGUAAAGGGGAGGAGCACAAAGACCGACAACAAGGCACCUGACUCAGCCCAUAAGGCCCAGGGCCGUAACAUCUACCAAGAUCCUUGAAAGACAGCUGCAAUUUUGACACAUGGAUAUUUCUCAAUGUGUCAAUAGGGAGGAUAAUUACUAUAUUACUACCAAAUAUGGAUUAAAAAUUAUGGAUUAAAAAAAAUCUAAUUCUUACUUAAAAUUUUUUGUACUACAUCAGUGUGAAAAACAAUCCUCAAGGAAACAUGAGACCAAAAAGAGGAAGUUUCCCAAACCUUUCUUAUCUGUUCCAGACAAUGCAUAUGGAUUUUAUUGAACUUCACGAAGUGGGCCUUAUAAAUAUUGUUUGGUAAUGAUUGAUGCAUUUUCUAAAUGGGUUUUAAUAAGUCCCAGCAAAGCAUGCAGAUGCUUUGACAGUAGCUAAAGCUAUAUGUAAAACCAUUAUUCCAACAAAUGGUAUACCAAACUAUUUAUAGUGAGAAUGGACCACAUUUUGUAAACAAGGUUAUACAAAGUAUGGCUACUCAUUAGGAAUAAGAUUGAAAAACCAUUAGUGCUGACCUAAUGAAAGAACAAUGGAACAGUAAAAUAGAUUAAUAAAAUGUAUAGAAACAACUAACAGGCCAUGGCCAGAAUGUUUAGAUUUGGUGAAGUUGCACAUGAGAAUUAAACCCACACAGGAAGGAUUAACUAUUUGAAAUAAUUCAUGGAAGACCAUGCAGAUUUUAUUAUUUUUUUAUGCAGAUUUACAGAAAGCAGAUGAGGAGCAAACAAUGGCAGACUAGACGAUUAGGACUCUAAGACAGAAAGAAGUGUCAAAUGCAAAGGGUUAGGGUUAGGGUCUGACCCUGCUCUCUCACAGGAAACCCCUCCCAUCAAGCCAGGAGACUGGGUGUAUAUCAAAGUCAUAAAAAGAAAGUGCUGGGCCAGUCCACGGUGGGAGGGACCAUUCCGAGUGCUGAUAACCACACCAACUGCUGUAAAGAUUGCUGAAAGACCCAGAUGGAUACAUCUCAGUCACUAUAAGGUACAGAGGGUGUUGGACCUCUAAAUCAGAGUGACAGGGAAGCCUGACUUUCAAAGGGGUUCUGUUGUUUAGGGCAGUUCGUCUCAACUGUCAGCAGAAGAAUUCAACAGAUCCUCACUCUGCUAGGCUGGGGGUCUUGACAUCUCUGUAUUCUGAGCAGCAAUGAUCCACAUGCCAGGUGGAUCCUCUACUGUUUUGCAGAGGGAGUGGUCUCACUCUCAACAGGAUAAGGAGAGAAGCAGACACAUCCUCCCUCCAGACUCAUCCACAUGACUACAGCACCAACUUGUGGUGGCAACUGAUGAACAGGACUGCAUAUGAGGGAAAUGAGACCAACUGCUAUGUGUGUGCACAGCUACCCUAUUCCACACACAACUCUGGUCUGAGACCUGGAAACAUAACCAAA